rnacentral:rRNA from 1 species
UACGUAGGGGGCAAGCGUUGUCCGGAUUUAUUGGGCGUAAAGAGCGUGUAGGCGGUUUGGUAGGUCCGCUGUGAAAACUCGAGGCUCAACCUCGAGACGCCGGUGGAAACCAUCAGACUAGAGUCCGGAAGAGGAGAGUGGAAUUCCUGGUGUAGCGGUGAAAUGCGCAGAUAUCAGGAAGAACACCCGUGGCUAAGGCGGCUCUCUAGUACGGUACUGACGCUGAGACGCGAAAGCGUGGGGGAGCGAACAGG